AGAGUUUGAUCCUGGCUCAGGAUGAACGCUGGCGGCGUGCGUAAUACAUGCAAGUCGAACGGGGUCACGAAUUCGCAAGGAUACGUGGUCCAGAGGCAGACGGGUGAGUAACACGUAGUUGACCUACCCUGGAAAGGGGGAUAACGUCUCGAAAGGGAUGCUAAUACCCCAUAAGCACACGGAGGUUAGAGGCUCAGUGUGAAAAGGAGAAACAUCGAAAGAUGUCAUCCGUUUCAGGAGGGGACUGCGGCCCAUCAGCUAGUUGGUGAGGUAGGAGCCCACCAAGGCGAAGACGGGUAGGGGGCCUGAGAGGGUGGUCCCCCACACGGGCACUGAGAGACGGGCCCGACUCCUACGGGAGGCAGCAGUAAGGGAUAUUGCACAAUGGGCGAAAGCCUGAUGCAGCAACGCCGCGUGCACGAGGAAGGCCUUCGGGUCGUAAAGUGCUUUUCUGGGAGAAGAGGAAGGACGGUACCCCAGGAAUAAGUGUCGGCUAACUACGUGCCAGCAGCCGCGGUAAAACGUAGGACGCGAGCGUUAUCCGGAGUUACUGGGCGUAAAGGGCGGGUAGGCGGCCUAUCAAGUUGGUUGUGAAAUCUCCCGGCUAAACUGGGAGGGUGCUAUCGAAACUGAUAAGCUAGAGGGCAGCAGAGGGUCGUGGAAUUCCGGGUGGAGUGGUGAAAUGCGUAGAGAUCCGGAGGAACACCAGAGGCGAAGGCGGCGACCUGGGCUGCAACUGACGCUGAACCGCGAAAGCCAGGGGAGCGAACGGGAUUAGAAACCCCGGUAGUCCUGGCCGUAAACGAUGCCAACUGGGCGUUGGUGGUGAAAGCCAUCAGCGUCGGAGCAAACGCGGUAAGUUGGCCGCCUGGGGAGUACGACCGCAAGGUUAAAACUCAAAGGAAUUGACGG
rnacentral:rRNA from 1 species